UACAGAGGCCUCAAGCGUUUGUUCGGAUUCAUUGGGCGUAAAGGGUGCGUAGGCGGCGCGGUAAGUCGGGUGUGAAAUCUCGGAGCUUAACUCCGAAACUGCAUUCGAUACUGCCGUGCUUGAGGACUGGAGAGGAGACUGGAAUUUACGGUGUAGCGGUGAAAUGCGUAGAUAUCGUAAGGAAGACCAGUGGCGAAGGCGGGUCUCUGGACAGUUCCUGACGCUGAUGCACGAAGGCCAGGGGGAGCAAACGGG
rnacentral:rRNA from 1 species